GGCUACCUGGCGCAAUGGUAGCGCGUUUGGCUUCGAUUGCCUCACGAGCUUAAAAGCACACCAAAAGGUUGCAGGUUCGAGUCCUGCGGUGGUCA